AAAAAAAAAAAAAAACAGCAGCAUGUUGGAGAAAUUAAGGAUGGAAUUAAUAAAGAAGAAAUUUAGUUUUGUUUGGUUUGAAUUAGUGGGUUUUGCUGAAGGGGCAUGAUGUUGAUAGGCAGUUUGUUCUUCAUCUUCACUGUUGGAAAAUAGACAAUCUCAUCCUUCUCUGCCACCCAUCGGUAGGUGGUGACAAGAUGGUGGAGGAAAAUUGAGAUUUCAAGCCUUGAAAGUUCUAAACCAGGACAUAGCCUCUGUCCUCCACCAAAGGGUGUAAAUGUAUUGCUGGUCACAGCAACUCCAACUUUCUCCCAUCUGGAGGGAUCAAAAUUGUAUGGAUUUUCAUAAUUUUCUUCAUCCAUGUGAACUGAAGUGAAGGAUGCCAAAACACACCAUCCUUUUGGUAUCAAAUGCCCUUUAAUUUUGACAUCUUUGAGAGAUUUUCUCCAAACUGCAUUAAUGAUAUUUGCCAAUCUCAACGUUUCACUGAUAACAUUCUGAGUGAAGGGCAUUGACAAAUAAUCAGUCCAACUAUAGUCCUCACAACAGCUUAUCUUCUGCUGCUUCAAUUCCAAAUUCUCCUCCAGCAAGCGAUGCAGAGCGACGGGAUUGUCGCUUAGAAAUUUGACGGCUAAGGUGAUCACGGUUGGUACGGUCUCUUCUCCAGGGAUCAUCAUCUCUAUCAAGUUGCCACUGGUGAAAUCAUACGGCAGAGGUUGCUUUGCCCCAUCAGCAUUCCCUAAGAGCACGUCAAUUGCAUCAUUUGGGAAACCCUUUUCUUCUUUUUUCUCCAUGCUUAAUUUUCUCUCCUCUACCAUCUUCUCUACCAUUCUUGUUAACCUUUCUUUCGCCUUUAAUGAUUUGUAGAGAGUGGUUCCAGGAAGCUUAAUGGGCAAACAAAUCAAGCCUUUGGUGAGUUCUUCAAAUUCUUUCUUGAGUAAGUUCAAUUCUUCUCCAGGGUCCACGCCUAGUAUCAGCUUGACUAAUACUUCAAAUGAAAUCUUUUUGGCUUCAUCUUGUAGGUA
rnacentral:misc_RNA from 1 species